ensembl:lncRNA
GGCAGAGUGGAGGAACCCACCCACGGCCCGGUGCACACUUGGGUCCAAGAGCAUCAGAAACGUCUAGAUGUAGCUUAUAAAGGUGUGAGUAACCGCACCAAAGCAGCAGCGACGCUGCGUGCAGAUCGUCAACCUGCCCCAUAUUCUGACCCCUUGCCAUUGCAUCAGUUAGUGUAUUUGAGAGAUCAUAGCAUUCGGGGACGGAAUAAAAUCCAAGAUUUUUGGGGCGUUACACCGUAUUGUAUUGUCCGUGCCCCUGCUGAUGCUGGUCCUGUGUAUACAGUGGCCCCACUCAAUGAUGCAGAACAGAAAAGACAGGUUAAUAGACAAUUUAUCAAGCCGAUCCCUGCUGAUAUCUGUGAGAAAAUAAGGGCAGAGCUCCAGCAAACUGCUAACCCUAGAAGUUCACCUGACCGGUUACCCCCGUCUGAGGAGGAGGGAGACUUUUAUGUGUGGCAACGAAGGGAGUCCCCAAGAGGUGACCCCCAAAGUGUACAAACUGAUUCUGCACCUUGUCCCCAACAACUCCCAGAAGACCUGGCUAUAGUAAUGAGGCCGCAGUCCAGAAGGACUGAGCCUGGUACCCUGACUCCACAGUGUAGUGUCCCCACUCCAUUAGCUGAAAGUGGUACAGUUAGAAGAACGACACGCUCAACAGCUGGCCACCAUUCCAAUCCACACCAUCUGCCCCAAUCAGCUGAAGCAAGGCCACCUAGUGUACAUUCAGUUACAGCUUUUUAUAGACCGUGGCUUUAAGGUUUCAUUGUCGGGUCGCCAAUGCAAAAACCAGGGGGGAGAAUGUGACAGGUGAGACCUGGAGACUUGGGACCGCCCCUGGUGGGCGGAGCUGGUCUUCGCUCCUUUCAUAAGCGCAGGUGUGGGCAAUUGGGUAUUCCUUUGCAAACCUGAAGCUGCGGGUGCUUGGUCCGAGUUGGGCAAGUUGGUGUUUCUUAACUAUGAAAGUCUGAUACGCGUCCUCCCCUAAACUUCUGUUAGAACGGUGGGAAACAUUGCUCCCGUGAGAACGGUAUAGUGGACUUCAUCGCCACUGACCCACAUUUAUUAGGGUGUGACACGAACUUGUGGACAGAGUACCGAGCUGCUGCUUUGCCAGGUGGAUUUCUGGCUGCGGGCAAAGGACCCGACAC